rnacentral:rRNA from 1 species
AUUGAACGCUGGCGGCAGGCCUAACACAUGCAAGUCGAGCGGAGCGGCGGACGGGUGAGUAAUGCCUAGGAAUCUGCCUGGUAGUGGGGGAUAACGUCCGGAAACGGGCGCUAAUACCGCAUACUAUCAGAUGAGCCUAGGUCGGAUUGGCUAGUUGGUGGGGUAAAGGCCUACCAAGUCGACGAUCCGUAACUGGUCCUAGAGGAUGAUCCGUCACAUGGGAACUGAGAAACGGUCCAGACUCCCACGGGAGGCAGCGGUGGGGAAUAUUGGACAAUGGGCGAAAGCCUGAUGCAGCCAUGCCGCGUAUGUGAAGAGGGUCUUCGGAUUGUAAAGCACUUUAAGUUGGGAGGCGUUACCGACAGAAUAAGCACCGGCUAACUUCGUGCCAGCAGCCGCGGUAAUAC